CCUACGGGAGGCAGCAGUGGGGAAUUUUGGACAAUGGGCGAAAGCCUGAUCCAGCAAUGCCGCGUGAGUGAAGAAGGCCUUCGAGUUGUAAAGCUCUUUUGUCAGGGAAGAAACGGUGAAAGCUAAUAUCUUUUGCUAAUGACGGUACCUGAAGAAUAAGCACCGGCUAACUACGUGCCAGCAGCCGCGGUAAUACGUAGGGUGCAAGCGUUAAUCGGAAUUACUGGGCGUAAAGCGUGCGCAGGCGGUUUUGUAAGUCUGAUGUGAAAUCCCCGGGCUCAACCUGGGAAUUGCAUUGGAGACUGCAAGGCUAGAAUCUGGCAGAGGGGGGUAGAAGUUCCACGUGUAGCAGUGAAAUGCGUAGAUAUGUGGAGGAACACCGAUGGCGAAGGCAGCCCCCUGGGUCAAGAUUGACGCUCAUGCACGAAAGCGUGGGGAGCAAACAGGAUUAGAUACCCUGGUAGUCCACGCCCUAAACGAUGUCUACUAGUUGUCGGGUCUUAAUUGACUUGGUAACGCAGCUAACGCGUGAAGUAGACCGCCUGGGGAGUACGGUCGCAAGNUUAAAACGUCAAAGGAAUUGACGG
rnacentral:rRNA from 1 species